ACUAACUAGAACAAUGAUGGGCGGGCUCGCCUGCCCUCUCGAUUGCGAGGAGAUACGGACAGACUAUAUGGUGAAGGGUCGUUCCCCAUUCACCAUGAACAAUUAAUUACCCCACAUCAUCCGGGUUGUAGUCAGCCAAGGCAUCUACAGCACGA
rnacentral:sRNA from 1 species